ACUUAAAUUGAAGAGUUUGAUCAUGGCUCAGAUUGAACGCUGGCGGCAGGCCUAACACAUGCAAGUCGAGCGGCAGCGGGAAAGUAGCUUGCUACUUUUGCCGGCGAGCGGCGGACGGG
rnacentral:rRNA from 2 species